rnacentral:rRNA from 1 species
UACGAAGGGUGCAAACGUUGCUCGGAAUCAUUGGGCGUAAAGCGCACGUAGGCGGCUUUGCAAGUCGGACGUGAAAUCCCUCAGCUCAACUGAGGACGUGCAUCCGAAACUGCAAGGCUUGAGUACUGAAGAGGAUCGCGGAAUUCCCGGCGUAGAGGUGAAAUUCGUAGAUAUCGGGAGGAACACCAGUGGCGAAGGCGGCGAUCUGGGCAGAUACUGACGCUGAGGUGCGAAAGCGUGGGGAGCAAACAGG